CCUACGGGAGGCAGCAGUAGGGAAUCUUGCGCAAUGGGCGAAAGCCUGACGCAGCAACGCCGCGUGGGGGAAGAAGGCUCUAGGGUCGUAAACCCCUUUCAGCAGGGACGAAAAUGACGGUACCUGCAGAAGAAGCGCCGGCCAACUACGUGCCAGCAGCCGCGGUAAU
rnacentral:rRNA from 1 species